CUCUUACAGAUGAAUCUUGAAAGAUACCAAGAAGGACUCAUCAAAUAUUACCUGGGAGACAUGGCCUUGAAAGCAUAACCUGUGAAUAUAAUCCAUCUGAGACAGCACUUAACUCCAGACAACUCAAUGAUCAACUCAGGAAAAGCAGCAAACAUGAAAAUUCUAUGGCUGAGGCCAUAUUGCACAUCCUUGGUGGACUGUUAAGAAGAGAAAAGAAAAUCUGUGAAUGCAGUGGAGGCUCACCUUGUUGUCUGCCUGGAGCAGGGAAUAGAUUCUCCCUCUGUGUAACUGGCCUACUUUGCUGUUCCCCACACAGUCUUCAGCAGAGGUGUUAUAUGACUUCCAGAAGUUAAGGACCAUGUUUGUCAGA